rnacentral:lncRNA from 1 species
GGCGGGAAUCAGCUUCAGCGGUGCGGGGGAACGACGCUUAUAUUAUCCAUGGUUAUGCUGCUUUAGCUGCGGUUUACCGGUGUGAGAAACGGAUACACUGGGUUGUCGUCGUGUAUUUAACUAUAUAUAACUUAACUUAUAAUAUAGCGAGCAGGUUAGAGGCGGUGUGAGCGGUGUUUAUGGCGGAGUGUUAGUUAGCUUUAGCUGCUGGAGCUGGAGUGUUUCAGCUCGCUGUUCUCUUUAAACGCGGGGGAGGCGCGGGUCUGUGUGUAGCUGGUUAAUAAGGUUAAAGGCUGGUGGCGUUUAAAACUCGCAGCCAUGAGUUUAUUUAAUCUCGAAAGAUUCCGCUUUCAGAAAGAAAACACGAGCGAAAAGCUCCCAUCCUCCCCGGCCCGGCUCCCCAAACCCGAGCAGCGCAGAGUGCUGUCCGGCUCGGAUAAAGAGAAUUACCCGGCACGUUUAGUGAAACCAGACGGCAGACGAGGUCCAGGCAAAAUUCCACGACAUGCCCUGGAUGACGUGUCCUCUGAAGAUGAGGUGGUUAGGAAAGUCCAGUCUGCUGUACAAACGAAGAAAAAUUCAGAAUCUGAAAAGCAGAUCAGUGAUGAGUUGGAGGAUAAACUUGACAAACUUCUUGAAAUGUUUCCUCAGAGGAGCAGAAGUGAAUUGCUGGAGGUGCUUGAGGAAACCAGCACACUAGAGGGAGCUGUUGCACAGUGCUUAGUGGUUUAUGGAGACAAAGAUUCAAAUAAAGUGGAAAGGACAUCAACACGCAGUGAUCAUUGUGACGUGCAAGCGAAGAAGCGGCGAAAAACUGUGGUACAGUUUCUCUUGUUUUCUUAGAUUUUUAUAAACCUCUGCAAACUUGACAAUAUUGGUAGAAAAAAUGCAUUUGGAAAUUAUCGAAUGAUAUUCCUAUAUUUAAUGCAUGAAUCUGAUCUUAAUGCAGAUAUCUGAUUCUGAAUCUGAGUCUGAUUCUGAGUCUGAGUCUGAUCCUGACUCUGAGGAGGAGGAGGAGGAGGAGGAGGAGGGGGAGGGUCAGGAGCCAAGCAGUAUGCAACAAGAAGCUCUAGUGCGCAAAAUGAAAAAGGAAAUACCUGAAUAUGAAAAUGAUGUGGGUUAAACUGAUCACAUUGCUUUUGGGAAAUAAUAGUGUGUAUUUGUGUGCUUCUUUCAUGUGCUGUAUGUGAUUUUAUUUUAUUUUUUUAUAUUUUUUUGGCAGGUGCUAAGGGAUGUUUUAAGAGAACAUAACUGGAAUCUCCAGAAUGCCUUAGGAUCAUUACUCUUGUUCUCAUCAGGAACAGGUGAGUAACUGUAUGUUCACACCAAACGCGAUAAAAUCGCUCUGUGCAAUGAGUCGCUUGGGGACGUGUCUCACUCAGAACGAGCUGUCGCUGGUGGGCGUUUCCAAAUAUGGCACAUACAGAAACAAGGGUUCAGCCUAUCUACACAAUUCCUACACCUUAAACAGUCGUACAGAUGUUUCACAAACAAUAAAUCUUUAUAUCUU